rnacentral:rRNA from 1 species
GUUUCGGCUGUCACUUACAGAUGGACCCGCGGCGCAUUAGCUAGUUGGUGGGGUAAUGGCUCACCAAGGCGACGAUGCGUAGCCGACCUGAGAGGGUGAUCGGCCACACUGGGACUGAGACACGGCCCAGACUCCUACGGGAGGCAGCAGUAGGGAAUCUUCCGCAAUGGACGAAAGUCUGACGGAGCAACGCCGCGUGAGUGAUGAAGGUUUUCGGAUCGUAAAGCUCUGUUGUUAGGGAAGAACAAGUGCGAGAGUAACUGCUCGCACCUUGACGGUACCUAACCAGAAAGCCACGGCUAACUACGUGCCAGCAGCCGCGGUAAUACGUAGGUGGCAAGCGUUGUCCGGAAUUAUUGGGCGUAAAGGGCUCGCAGGCGGUUUCUUAAGUCUGAUGUGAAAGCCCCCGGCUCAACCGGGGAGGGUCAUUGGAAACUGGGAAACUUGAGUGCAGAAGAGGAGAGUGGAAUUCCACGUGUAGCGGUGAAAUGCGUAGAGAUGUGGAGGAACACCAGUGGCGAAGGCGACUCUCUGGUCUGUAACUGACGCUGAGGAGCGAAAGCGUGGGGAGCGAACAGGAUUAGAUACCCUGGUAGUCCACGCCGUAAACGAUGAGUGCUAAGUGUUAGGGGGUUUCCGCCCCUUAGUGCUGCAGCUAACGCAUUAAGCACUCCGCCUGGGGAGUACGGUCGCAAGACUGAAACUCAAAGGAAUUGACGGGGGCCCGCACAAGCGGUGGAGCAUGUGGUUUAAUUCGAAGCAACGCGAAGAACCUUACCAGGUCUUGACAUCCUCUGACAACCCUAGAGAUAGGGCUUUCCCUUCGGGGACAGAGUGACAGGUGGUGCAUGGUUGUCGUCAGCUCGUGUCGUGAGAUGUUGGGUUAAGUCCCGCAACGAGCGCAACCCUUGAUCUUAGUUGCCAGCAUUUAGUUGGGCACUCUAAGGUGACUGCCGGUGACAAACCGGAGGAAGGUGGGGAUGACGUCAAAUCAUCAUGCCCCUUAUGACCUGGGCUACACACGUGCU